rnacentral:rRNA from 1 species
UUCCGGUUGAUCCUGCCAGCGGGCACCGCUAUUGGAGUUCGCUUAAGACAUGCGAGUCGAGAGGUGCAAGACCUCGGCAUACGGCUCAGUAACACGCGGACAACCUACCCUAAGGUGGGGGAUAAUCUCGAGAAACUGAGAAUAAUACCCCAUAAGCCUCCUAUGCUGGAAUGCUUGGAGGCUCAAAUCUCCGGAGCCUUAGGAUGGGUCUGCGGCCUAUCAGGUUGUAGUGGGUGUAACGGACCCACUAGCCGUUGACGGGUACGGGCUUUGAGAGAAGUCGCCCGGAGAUGGAUUCUGAGACACGAAUCCAGGUCCUACGGGGUGCAGCAGUCGCGAAAACUCCACAAUGUGGGAAACCACGAUGGGGGAACUCCAAGUGCAUAUACUUAGUAUAUGCUUUUCUUCUGCCUAAAAAGCAGGAGGAAUAAGGGCCGGGUAAGACGGGUGCCAGCCGCCGCGGUAAUACCCGCGGCCCGAGUGGUGCUCAUUAUUAUUGAGCCUAAAGCGUCCGUAGCUGGCUCUGUAAAUCUCUGGGUAAAUCGGGCAGCUUAACUGUCCGAAUUCCGGAGAGACUGCAGGGCUUGGGACUGGGAGAGGUUGAAGGUACUCCAGGGGUAGGGGUAAAAUCCUGUAAUCCUUGGGGGACCACCAGUGGCGAAGGCGUUCAACUAGAACAGAUCCGACAGUAAGGGACGAAGCCCUGGGGCGCAAACGGGAUUAGAUACCCCGGUAGUCCAGGGUGUAAACGCUGCAGACUUGGUGUUGGAGGUCCUACGUGGGCAUCCAGUGCCGGAGAGAAGUUGGUAAGUCUGCCGCUUGGGGAGUACGGUCGCAAGACUGAAACUUAAAGGAAUUGGCGGGGGAACACCGCAACGGGAGGAGCGUGCGGUUUAAUUGGAUUCAACGCCGGA